rnacentral:rRNA from 1 species
UACAGAGGUCUCAAGCGUUGUUCGGAUUCAUUGGGCGUAAAGGGUGCGUAGGUGGCGCGGUAAGUCGGGUGUGAAAUCUCGGAGCUUAACUCCGAAAUUGCAUUCGAUACUGCCGUGCUCGAGGACUGGAGAGGAGACUGGAAUUCAUGGUGUAGCAGUGAAAAUGCGUAGAGAUCAUGAGGAAGACCAGUGGCGAAGGCGGGUCUCUGGACAGUUCCUGACACUGAGGCACGAAGGCCAGGGGGAGCAAAACGGGG